rnacentral:snRNA from 1 species
AUACUUACCUGGCAGGGGAGAUACCAUGAUCAAGAAGGUGGUUCACCCACAGCGAGGCUCAGCCAUUGCACUCUGGCUUGUGCUGACCCGUGCGACCCAGCGGCGGGCUGACGCCUUUACGGCGAUGCAGGAGGUCGACGCCGAC